rnacentral:rRNA from 1 species
UACGGGGGGGGCAAGCGUUGUUCGGAAUUACUGGGCGUAAAGGGCUCGUAGGCGGCCAACUAAGUCAGACGUGAAAUCCCUCGGCUUAACCGGGGAACUGCGUCUGAUACUGGAUGGCUAGAGGUUGGGAGAGGGAUGCGGAAUUCCAGGUGUAGCGGUGAAUUGCGUAGAUAUCUGGAGGAACACCGGUGGCGAAGGCGGCAUCCUGGACCAAUUCUGACGCUGAGGAGCGAAAGCCAGGGGAGCAAACGGG